GCCCCAGACAAGGGGCAGAGUAACCUUAGUGACUGCCAGGCCCAGAAGGUCUCCUGGUGGUGACCGGGCCAGGCUACUUCCUGAUGGCACAGAAGCGGCAGAAGCGGCGGCCUUGGCACACUCCCUGGACAAGAAGUAUGCAGAGCCAGAGCAAGAUCUGAAACCAUGUCCAACACUUCUCCUUCCUGUGUAUCCAUUCCGUGAGUCAAGGCAGGCUUCUGGAACAUUCCAGGAACACAGAAGAAAUUUACCCUCGGCUUCAAUUCAGAGGGUUCCUUCGAGGGCACACAGUUUGCAAAACAAGACUGUACGAGGUAUGACCUUCCCUCAUAUCAAUCUCCCAUUCAUCCAGUUUGGCUCAAGGCCUCAGCAUACAACUGGUAUUGAGUGAAUGCUCCCCUCUGGAAACCAAGGAGUACUCAGAGCUCACCUGAGAUGCAGCACAUCCAGCUGGAAGGUUGGAAAGCCAAUCCAGAUCACUGAGUCUAACCCAGCAGCCCUGGACCUGGUGGGGAUGGGACAGGGGGGAAGAGCUUUCCCAAGGCCCUCUGGGCAGGAGGCAAAGCCGGACAGAUGGCUUCAGGCUGCAGACCCUCAGCUGAGUUUACUUCCAUGCAUCCCAGUUUGGAUGUUAGAGACACUGUUUGCAUUUUCUUUCAGACCCAAAAUGCAUUAGGACAGGUCCCUUGCUCUUCCCUGAGGCAGAUGCAAUCCAGCAGGACUUUGUGGUCCUCCCAGCCCAUACCUCUGAAGUUUCCUGGGUGUGGCUGAGCUCAGCUCCACAAGGUGACCAGUGCCAGAGGCAGGAGUUGCUCAACAGUGAGCAUGUUUGGAGAGGUGAUGUCACACCCAAGGAAAAAUAUCUUCUUGAGGAAAAAGUGGUCAUCUACAGAGUACAUCCCUAAAACAGUGCCAAGUUCAUAGAGUAAGCAUUCUUCCACCUCAGUCAGGCAGCUUACCAAGCACAGUGGUGCAAGCCCAUCAAUUCCCUCCAUCUUUGUCUCACCACCCCUCUGCCCGCUAGCUUGGGCUACCAGGGUCAACCACGUCCACCCACCAUGAAAUGCUGGAUGAUCCUAAAGACCAAGGCCACCGCUGGAGAUGUGACCCAUACCACGCAGGUCCCAGGUGCAAGCAGAACCCAAACCGCACACCCUGCCAGCAGGAUCACUGUGGCUGCUUCUGAUGGGGCUCCUGGACAGCUUGACCUCCCGCCUCGAGGGAGUAAGGAGUGGGGAUAUCUGUACCAGCGACAAAGGUUCCCAGCCCUGCUUCCCUGAGAUGGAAAGGAUUGCCUCGAGGAAUUUGGCCUUGUCCCAAGGAGUCUAAAGUCAUCCUUGGAGUUUUGAAAGGGAAGAUUCUGACAAGCUGCCCAAAAGGUAGGUAAGAGUGGCCACCAGGGCCAUAUGGACAGGAAAGCUACAUGGACACGUUUGCUGAGCCACCAAGAGAAACCACGUGGGGGCACUUGCCCUUGGCUGUCCUGAUAAAGGCCAACCAAGAUAUCCAUGGAAGACAUCCACACCAAGACAGAGGCUGGCUUUCUCCCAGUCCCACCCAACAUCCAACCCAUCUAAGUUCUAUUUGGUGAAACAGGCCAAAGGGGAACAUGGAACAACUUCAAGGAUCAAGUCUUUUCAUUGCCAACUCACAAAACAUUCCCCUAACCCAGCACUCACUAAAGAGCUGCGUUCGGCCUGUUUGAAGCAGCACUCUCUGGGUCCGGCGCUGGCCCCAUAGCCAUCCAGAAAGAGGGGAGCAUCGGCCCCUUUGCUCUGAGAAAGGUCAAGAUGCACGUACUUAACACAACUUAUUUUUUGGAAGCUCAUGACUUUCUCCAAGUGGCCUUGGGUACUGUGCACCUUCUCUGGGCUUCAACUUCCCUUUUUUGUGACAUUCUGGGGGUUCUAAAUAUAUACUAUAGUUUUGCCCUUACAAUAGUUAAUUGUUUAUCUGGAAAACACCUUCUCCUUUCCCAAGUGCUAAAUUUAAUUCUCACAAACGUCGUGUGAGGAGAGCAGCCCAGGGAUGGGCUAGCCCUGUUCUUACAGAGGACGACACUGAGGCUGGGAAGAGUAUCCAUGCCCACCAGUGGACGGUGGUCCACAAACCAGUCCACAGCACACUGGUCACAACCACAUAACGAAAAUAAAAAAAAAAAACAACACAGCCAAACAGUUCAAAAAGCUUCAUUGGUUCACUUUUUUUAAAAGUUGGCCCUUUAUUUCAAAAGAUGAUUCCUACUUCAACUUUUAAAAGUUUUCUGAAAUUGUUUCAAGGUCCUUUCUUUGCCAGCAGAUAAUAACCUGGAUAAUCUCUGUUGUACCAGGAAGGUAAAGGGGCUUACACUUCAGGGACCUUCCCUUCCAAGACAAUCUGGAAAUGUAUUCACAUGGUCUUGCAUUUUUGGAAAAUUUGCAAAAAUGAGAUACUUCUUUAUUCUUUCCCUUAAAGAGGCCACCCCCUAAUGCAUAAGUUUCAUGGGUGUCUGAAUCUUGUUUCUGAACCUGACCUUAGUCCUCUGGCAUUUUUUAAAUUAAUUUAUCCUACUGACCCAUGAAUCCCCAGAGUCCAUGACCCAUUUCACCAAGUGGAUGACUCAAGGUCUUUUCAGACAUGGAGACCCUGGGAUUCUUUUGUCUUGCCCUAGUUUGGACAGAGAAAAGCCACACCAAGGCUGGCUCCUAUGGCUACUCUUCCUUCCACCCCACGCUGCCCAUCAAGGAAAAGGAAUCUCCAGGAAAUUUUGACCUACUCUCAAAACACAGAAGACUGACUGUUUUCUGAGCAUUUCUUAGAAGAGAGAGAGAAAUGCGUUGCUUUGCAAACUUUGAGCAUUACACCACUCACACAUUAAACCCAAGAGCUGUGGAAUUUCCAUGAGUAAGCCGGGGGCCAGCUUGAGAGGAGCACACCCCGGACUAAAAUUAGAUGUGUCCCUGAGCCAGCGAGGCUGCCUCCUGGGCCUCUCCUGGCAGCCAUUUUCACUUGAAAUGGGAUACAAGAGUCCUUGCAUCCCAGCCUGGGAGUCCUUUCCCUUCCUGUUCACCUGAGGUUACCAGCCUCUUGCCCUUUAGAGGGUUUCCAGGUGCUCAGCACCGGAUAGCUCAUGAGUGGAAGCCCAGCAGGUGGGAGGAUCACCAAGGAUCACAGGUGGGAAUCCAGCCAUUCAAGGGGGAAAUCAAUGCUGAAACUCCAUGAGCCCUAAAGCAGGGGAACACAGGACUGACUUCAUGAAGGUGUCAAGACAGAGGUAUUCAACAUUUUAGCCCAAGGGCAGGUUUCCCUCCCAGAUCCCCAACACUCUGGUUUCCUAAGAGUGGGGAAAACAAACCUAAGCAACACAACCCCUUUUUUCCUUUCCCAAAAAAAAAGCAGAAUAAAAUCCCAUAGCAAGGUUCUGCUGUCCCUGAUUCCCAAGUGUCAGGGAUCUAAGUGACAGGGGCUGAGGCCGGAAGCAACCUGCAAACUCCCUGGGAGUCCUUGCUUCUCCAAGCUGCACCCUCCCGCCAGGGUCCCCCUUCCCAUGGGGCCAUGUGCAGGGACCUACAGACUGCACUCCUUCUGGAUCAUGUGGGCGAGAAACAGCCCCAGUAAAACGGCCAACAGGAAGAGCUUUGACCAAAGGUAUCUGGAACUCUUUCCAGAACAAAUAUAAAACCAUCUGAGGCAGCUAGAACCACGUCGGGCAGACUCCUGUUGGAAAUGUCACACUGAACCUCAUGAUGUGGAUGUAAUCAAAGGAUCAGGGGUUUGGAGAAAACAUCCAGAGGGUCAGGAAAGGAUUCCAGUACUAGCAGGGUGGAUGGGGUGUGCUGGAUCUGGGGAGGGAGGUGGGGAAUCAGCACCAGACAACACAGAGAGAGAGAGCUGCUUUCUGUGCAUCUGGAAAAUAUGUGAGCGCUGUCGAUUCUCUGACAGCCGCUGACUCCUUGGAAGUCACAGGACUUACGGAUGCUCCUAUGUAACCAAGGAAGGAGUUACCAUAAUUGUACUCUUGGGCUGCAUCCGGGGGGUUCCUGAGAGUUUCUGAAGCCAGCCCGUGUUGUACUCCAUCAACCCACUCAGAUUCCAGCACUCCAUGACACACACUCUAACCUUGUUACAUCUCUUAAUGAUCCUUACCAGAGAGAGACAAGAGAAAGAUUCCAUGAACUAUUCAUUUUCUCUAUCUAUUCUGUGUGUUUUCUACUUUUACUUUACUUUGAAAACUGAAAAAAAUAAGGAAAUUCAAGCAACAAUACAAUGCAUACUAGUUAUAGUGACAGUUGAUAUCUGGCUCAUUUUUUUUCAACACACACACACACACAAAAAAAAAAAACUGGUUGUGGGGGGUUGGGGUUUUGCUCUACUGAACCAUCUGAAAGCAAAUUGUAACAUCAUGACACUCCACCCCUGAACCCCAAAGAGCGAGGAUGUUCUCCUGCAUAAUCCUCGAGGACUUCAUUUGUAUGACAACACUUUUCCAAACUAGGAGCCUUGUCUGAGCUUUCCCAUGUCCCUGCAACUGGGCCACGAGCCCUUUGGGAGUUAUUUUCUUCAAAAAGAAGAAUAAUAAUAAAUCAGUUGUAAUGUC